GCGCCUGUAGCUCAGCUGGACAGAGCAGCUGCCUUCUAAGCAGCGGGUCGGGAGUUCGAGUCUCUCCAGGCGCGCCA
rnacentral:tRNA from 1 species